GAUGAACGCUGGCGGCGUGCUUAACACAUGCAAGUCGAACGGUGAGACGCCGUCCUUUUUGGUCGGAGUGGAGGAGUGGCGAACGGGUGAGUAACACGUGAGUAACCUUCUCCCUCCUGCUUGAUAACCGCAUGAAAGUGUGGCUAAUACGUGAUAUUCUGGAUCUGUUGCAUGAUGGGUCUGGGACAGAUAUUGUGUCGGUGGUGGAUGGCGCCGCGGCUUAUCAGCUUGUUGGUGGGGUGAUGGCCUACCAAGGCGGUGAGGGGUAGCCGGCCUGAGAGGGUCGGCCGCACUGGAGCGAAGGAGCGACCGCGACGACUCCUAGGGGCGGCAGUAGUGGGUCUUCUUGAACAAUGGGAGCCAUGCUGAUGCAGCGCCGCGGCGGGGGGGAUGGUGUCCUUAGCGUUGUGCUCUGCUUUCGGGAGUGAAGAAAGGCUGACUCGUUUGUGGGCGGGUUGACGGUACCUGGACAGAAAGCGACGGCUAACUACGUG
rnacentral:rRNA from 1 species